GGGAAAUACAUCGGUACAGCUACUUUCCUAUUUGAAUAUUCUCAGAAAAUCUGAUUAGUAACCACUUAGCGUCCGCACAAGACAGUGCAGUUAUUCAGAUGACCAGUAAACGACAAUUUUUAUAGCAAUCAUCAUAUUUAGUAAAGGUUUACAUAGUAUUUACGUUCUAUAUUAGUUUAACGGGUUUUAACUGACAAAAAAAAGAAAGAAUUGGAAGAUGCAUAAAAAAUUUAAUAGAUUAUAUUACUUAGUAACUCUACACGUAUUUUUGAGAAUUUUCAACCGCUACUACAGACUCUUGUACCUAUAAUGACAUAUGAAAUACAUAUUACGAAUAGUUAAUGCUUAAUAUAACAUUGACAACCCUGGGUGUGUACUAUUCUCUGUGCCUAUAGUUUAAAAAUUGUGUAAAUUUGCGUUCAAAUUAUUCCUAAGAAUGUUUAUAGAACAGAUAAUGAUCAAUACUACAGUUAUUCCUAAUACAUUUUUUUUUAAAUCGUUUAUUAAUUAAGUAUUUAAGUUAAUUGAAUAAAUCACUGACGCUAACAUUAAUUUAACGGCCCGCUUUGAAGAAAAAUGUCAAAGAAAUUUAAUUAUCCUCAAAAUCACUUCCGCACAACAAAUUUUUCCAUAUUUAUGUUUGUUUCUUCAACUUUGUUUUGAGUGAGUUUUAUGUAUUAUAAAUAAAAAAUAUCAACGCUUUAUUUUAAUUGAUUUUAUUCUUAGCAUAGAUAAGCACAUCUGGGGUUUAUCGGAAACUAGAGAUUCCUCUCUCUUUUUUGAAUUGGUUUGCGUCAGAACUAGGUAAGAUUUUGGUGUCUAUCCGUGGGGCUCACUCACAUACGCCCUGACACCAAUAAAAACCCGUUUAUUUGUACGUAUACCGCUGAAGAAGAAAAAAAACGGCGGCAAAAAAUAUAUAAUUAAUAAAUAAAUAAAAACGCCGGCACGCCACUUCGUAGUUCAAUGCUCCAGGUCGACGAUCCACAGUGUACCGUACGCCGCGAUCAUAAGAAAUGUACGCCCAGUCAACCUGGCCGAACGUGGAGGCACGGACGCACAUUACGAAUCACUUCACGCAUUGCAUCUCCACGAUUUAGCCGGGUUAUCAGCCAUUAAGCACCCAAGCGGAAAGCUACAGGUGCCGGAAUAUUAAGAGGUCCCAUUGACCUACCAAAACUGAAUGUAAUCCGCAUUAAUACACCAUUAAGUUUGCAUUAGUAUUUCAUGAUAACAGUAAAUAUUACGAACGAUAGCUCGUUUACAUUAUAGAAUAGGAGAGUUGAAUUAUUUUAUAACUCAACCCAAAAUUCAGAAUAAGUUUGAGCUUAGUAUUUAUUCUAAAACUUCGCAAUGAUAAAUGACUUCAUAUAUACAUCUAAAUUUACAAAAUAUUUUACUCAGUAUAUUAUAUAAUAUUUAGAGCGUGUUUUUUGACAAUUUCUUUUCAAAACAAUCGUGAUAACGCUUCUAUUGAACCAAGGUCCGAUCGUUACUUGACCGACAUUAAAUAAACGAUCAUUAUAUUGUUUUAACUUUUACCAGGUAAUCAAUAAGAUGAACCGAUUUAUAAUACUCAGUGACGUAAUCGGUAAAACGAAAAUUAAAUAAAUAAGUAAUUUGAAUUAGAAAGUCCGAAUCUUAGAGGCACGUAAUUCAAUAAAAAUCAAACCCGUAAAAUGUAAUAUUUCCCGAAUCACCACCGAUGGUGAAUCAUGAGCUCGCACGAGCCAAGACUCAGUACGUAUGUCUCAAGAUGGGUGACGGAAUUCAUGUUGGAACUAUUGAAUGACCACAUCAUUUUAUUGGUCUUUAGAUUUCACCAUAUCGUUAUAUCUUUUAAAUUAUAAUAUUAGUGAAUCCUUUGACGUUUCACACUAUGACCGUCGCAAAACUAUAGAAAUACCCGUAAUUUUUUUAAAGUUGCAAAACUAUUGAAAUACACUAUUUUGUUUUAAAGUUUUUUUUAAACAUAUACUUAACUAUUAUUUCCUCGUAAUGAACAUUUCAAAAAUCUUUCAAUUUUUAUUUAGGUAUUGACAAAUGUCGGUUAGGUUUUAUAAAACUAAAAAAGAAAUACCUAAAUAGAUUUUGUCACAUUUCCGUAUAAUUUAUACCUACAUGAAUAUUAAUACUGAACACGUAAUAAAUAUUUAUGAAAAGACAAAUGUUAAGAUAUAUAAAACAAUGAAUGCAUGAAAAAUCUGCCAUAUUCCGUAGUUUGAAUUUUAUUUUGCUAAAAUAGACACACACGAAAGGCGGAAUUUAAAGUAGGUAGGUAGGUACUACUAUUAGCGUUAUCUCCAAUCAUGUAGUCUUUCAUGUCGAAGAUUUUGAAAACAGACCUCCCGAAAAAAAUUACUAAUGAAAUUUUAAUGUGAAGCCAUUAAUUAAUUUGUACAUGUUGAUGAAUACCUAGAAAGCAACGGAAAGGCGUGGGUGCUUCUAUUUGCACCAGGCUUAUUUAUAACAAGAUACACGGCAUUCAAGAGAUAAUAGCACCGCGAAAGUGUUACUCACUAAUGGAGUUUCAAUUAGUUUCUUGGCGGAUAACCGUUUAAUCAUAUUAUGAGCAAGGUCGACUCACCGGGUCGAUGUCCGCCUCCCAGACGUCCUUCAGAUCAUUGGAGAUGUCGAAAUAAACCUCCAUGUCGGGGCCGGUGUAGCACUACGGCCUCCGACGCGAAAGCACAAGAAACUCCCUCGAGAAAAACUCGCACAACACAACUGUCACCGGCUGUCCUUUCGCCGAGCGGAACUGUACGGUACGUAAUGUUCCAAACUAUUAAGCAAACAAACUCAAAGAACACUGUGCAUUAUCACGAGUUUACGUUCAAUCGUUUACACUAUCGAUGCCCAUUUGUUGUUGCAAUAAAAAUGUGUUUUUAUGAAGUUUGCCCGAACGCGAGGAAUGUUUGGUGCGCCCGUAUUCGAGAAUCGUACACACUAUCGCGGC